rnacentral:rRNA from 1 species
UCGGGUUGUAAAGCACUUUUGUCCGGAAAGAAAUCAUCCUGGUUAAUACCCGGGGUGGAUGACGGUACCGGAAGAAUAAGCACCGGCAACUACGUGCCAGCAGCCGCGGUAAUACGUAGGGUGCAAGCGUUAAUCGGAAUUACUGGGCGUAAAGCGUGCGCAGGCGGUUCGCUAAGACAGAUGUGAAAUCCCCGGGCUUAACCUGGGAACUGCAUUUGUGACUGGCGGGCUAGAGUAUGGCAGAGGGGGGUAGAAUUCCACGUGUAGCAGUGAAAUGCGUAGAGAUGUGGAGGAAUACCGAUGGCGAAGGCAGCCCCCUGGGCCAAUACUGACGCUCAUGCACGAAAGCGUGGGGAACAAACAGGAUUAGAUACCCUGGUAGUCCACGCCCUAAACGAUGUCAACUAGUUGUCGGGUCUUCAUUGACUUGGUAACGUAGCUAACGCGUGAAGUUGACCGCCUGGGGAGUACGGUCGCAAGAUUAAAACUCAAAGGAAUUGACGGGGACCCGCACAAGCGGUGGAUGAUGUGGAUUAAUUCGAUGCAACGCGAAAAACCUUACCUACCCUUGACAUGGUCGGAACCCUGCUG